rnacentral:rRNA from 1 species
AACGCGAAGAACCUUACCUGGGCUCGAAAUGUUAUGGACCGUCUGUGAAAGCAGGCUUUCCCGCAAGGGACCGUAAUAUAGGUGCUGCAUGGCUGUCGUCAGCUCGUGUCGUGAGAUGUUGGGUUAAGUCCCGCAACGAGCGCAACCCUUGUCCUGUGUUACCAUGCCGAAAGGCGGCACUCGCAGGAGACCGCCAGCGAUAAGCUGGAGGAAGGUGGGGAUGACGUCAAGUCCUCAUGGCCUUUAUGUCCAGGGCUACACACGUGCUACAAUGGGCGGUACAAAGCGCUGCUAAACCGCAAGGUGGAGCCAAUCGCAAAAAGCCGCUCUCAGUUCGGAUUGCAGGCUGCAACUCGCCUGCAUGAAGCUGGAAUCGCUAGUAAUGCUAUAUCAGAACGAUAGCGUGAAUACGUUCCCGGGCCUUGUACACACCGCGCAUA